CUCUAGUUGUUGUUGAUGAACAAACUACUCUCAAAUACAAACCAAUCUCAUCAAAUAAGAAACUGAUUCAAGUUGAUGGAGCUAUCAAGAAAGCAUAUGGUAGCGUCCAACUCUCGUUUCCUUGUUUACAUUGAAGUCAUAAUUCUUCUGUCAUUCUUCAGCUUGCCGGGUCUUAACUUGCUUGGUUUAGCAAGCCCUGUAGUUAGAGGAAAUGACAUUGAUCGACAAGCUUUACUCCAUUUCAAAUCAAAGAUAAUCGGAGAUCAACUUAAAGUUAUGGAGUCCUGGAAUAGUUCCAUUCACUUUUGCCACUGGCAUGGUGUUACUUGCGGUCGCAGGCAUCAAAGAGUCACCAAGUUGGAAUUGGAAUACCUGAAACUCACAGGAUCUUUAUCACCAUAUAUAGGAAAUUUGAGCUUUCUCAGGGAGUUCAGUCUUGCGGGCAACAACUUCUACAACCAGAUUCCUAGAGAAAUUGAUCGUUUGAGAAGAUUGGAAAUAUUAAUACUCACCAAUAACUCCAUUAGUGGUGAAAUUCCUUCCAAUUUAUCUGGUUGUUUUAAGCUCACAUAAGUUGAAAUAGAAGGCAACCAGUUAACAGGAGAAAUACCUACUUUCCUGGGUCUCUUGUCAAACUUGAAAUACUUGAGUUUUGCCUACAAUAGUUUGAGAGGGAGUAUCCCACCAUCGUUGGGAAACUUGUCAUCUCUGGAGACACUUGCUUUGACAAGAAAUUCAUUAAGUGGGAUUAUACCUGAAGCUCUUGAACAACUGACAGAUCUUUCAUAUUUCUCAAUAGAUGAUAAUGCAAUAUCUGGUACUGUUCCUGUCGCAAUGUUCAACCUAUCCAAUAUUAUAAUCUUUUCCAUAGGGGGAAACAAGAUUCAAGGUACUCUGCCUUCUGACUUAGCAAUUACUAUGCCAUAUGUUAAUUUCUUUUCUGUAAGAGAAAACCAAAUAUCUGGAAAAAUCCCUGUUUCAAUAUCCAACGCCUCAAAUCUGAAUAUACUACAAUUUGAGGGUAAUAGACUAGAUGGAGAUGUGCCUUCUUUAGAAAAGUUGGAUAAACUCUUUGCAAUGCUCCUAGAUGCAAACCAUUUGGGACAUGGGGGAGAAGGUGACUUGCACUUUCUUUGCACUUUAGUCAAUAAUACCAAACUAGAAGUGCUAGUUCUAAGUGAAAAUAAUUUUGGAGGGGUAUUUCCGGAAUGCAUUAGCAAUUUUUCUACCACCCUCUUACAUUUAGUAAUGGAAGAGAACAAAAUAUGGGGAAGAAUUCCUAAUGGCAUUGGAAAUCUCAUCAAUUUGGAGGUGCUAGGUAUAAGUCAAAAUCAACUAUCAGGUCCCAUUCCUAUUGAUAUUGGGAGGCUUCAAAAGCUAACGAUAUUUGAUGCUCGUUUAAAUUUUCUCAAUGGGACUAUUCCUUAUUCUAUUGGAAACUUAACAAUGUUAACCCUUGCUUUAGAUUUUAACAAUCUUCAGGGCAACCUUCCUUCAAGUUUAGGUGAAUGCCAAAAUUUGCUUGAAAUGGGUCUUUCUCAUAACAACCUUGGUGGACCAAUACCCCCACAAAUACUUGGACUACCAUCAAUGUCCAUUUCACUAGACUUAUCGUCAAGCAAUUUGACUGGUGACCUUCCUGUGGCAGUAGAACAACUAAAACAUCUAAGUGAAUUCCAUGUUUCCCAAAACAGGUUAUCUGGUUUACUUCCAAACAAACUUGGUAACUGUGUAAGCCUAGAGAAGUUGUUCUUGGAUGGCAACUUGUUUGAAGGGCCCAUUCCUUUGUCUUUGAGUUCAUUGAGAGGUCUUGAGGCACUGGACGUAUCUAACAAUAAUCUUUCAGGUCGGGUUCCGGAAUUUCUUGUGAGUUUUAGGGCAUUAAAGUACUUAAAUCUUUCUUUCAAUGAUUUUGAGGGAGUGAUACUAAGUGAAGGAGUCUUUAAGAAUGCAAGUGCUACAUUUGUUGAGGGAAACAAUAAGCUUUGUGGAGGCAUCCCUGAGUUACACUUGCUAAGAUGUAACUCGAAAACAUCUUCAAACACUUCCCUUAGAUUAAUAAUUGCAGUUGUUGUUGUGGUUUUAGGAGUGAGUUCGAUACCGUUUUUUGUCCUCAUCAUGAGGUUUAGAAAGAAGAAAGAGCAACAACCGACAACAACUUGUGCAGAAAAUUCGCUUCUACAGUUAUCAUACCUAAGCAUCCUAAGGGCAACUAACGGAUUCUCCAUGCAAAAUUUGGUUGGUUCAGGAAGUUUUGGCUUUGUAUACAAAGGUGUUCUUGAAGAAAAUGGAGCAUUUAUUGCAGUAAGGUGUUUAAUCUUCUGAAUCGGGGAGCUUCUAGGAGCUUCUUGGCUGAAUGUGAGGCCUUGAAGCACAUUCGACACCGAAAUCUGGUCAAGGUAUUAACAGCCAUUUCAGGUUUCGAUUAUCAAGGCAAUGAUUUUAAAGCCUUGGUUUAUGAGUUCAUGGAAAAUGGAAGCUUAGGGGACUGGCUGCAUCGAUCUACUGGCAUGCAUGAAUUGGAGACAACGAGAAAAUUGAACUUCUUUCAAAGAGUUAAUGUGGCCAUAGAUGUUGCCCAUGCACUAGAAUAUCUGCACCAUCAUGGCGAAACAUCGAUCAUUCAUUGUGAUAUCAAGCCAAGCAAUAUUCUACUCGAUGAGGAAAUGGUUGGUCAUAUAAGUGACUUUGGCUUAGCAAAAAUCUUUUUUGGAGACAAGCUUAACUAUUCUACUAAUCAGUCAAGCUCCCCUGGGUUAAGAGGAACUGUUGGUUAUGCUCCACCAGAAUAUGGCAUGGGAAGCGAGUUGUUAACAAAAGGUGACGUGUAUAGCUAUGGUAUCCUUUUGUUGGAGACGUUUACCGGAAAAAGGCCAACCGAUGAAAGGUUCAAAGAAGGUUUAAGUAUUCGCAACUUUGUUGAGGCAGCUUUGCCUGAACGAAUGAUCGAGAUUAUAGAUCCCAUUUUACUUCAAGAGAGAGUCAGAAGAGGAACAAUUGCCGACAUUAUUCUUAGUGGGAACAACUUGAGAAAUGAUAGACAUUUUUGGUGCUUGACUUCUAUACUUGAUAUAGGACUUGCUUGUUCUUUUGAAUCACCAAGUGAGCGUAUGGACAUGAGUGAUGUUGUUAUCAAGCUUUGUUCCAUUAGGUACAAGCUUUAUUCAACUCGAUUACGUAGAGAGGUUCAAACUUAAAUAUGCUGCUCAUCAACAGGAACCUUAGAUGCCAUAAGGAUGGAGUUGAGAGGCUUAGUUCAGGAAAAGGGCUUCUUUAUUAAUGUUUUGUAUAUUCAAAUAAGCUAAAAAAGCUAGUAAUGAAACAUUUGUUUUUUUAGUUUUCAAGUGAUAGUUUGGAAAAUGAGACUAAUAAUGUUGUUGAAUUUUAAGUCUACAACUGAUUGUAUGAGUUAUGCUAUUGGACAUGUCAA